AUUGAACGCUGGCGGCAGGCCUAACACAUGCAAGUCGAACGAGUGGCGGACGGGUGAGUAAUGUCUGGGAAACUGCCUGAUGGAGGGGGAUAACUACUGGAAACGGUAGCUAAUACCGCAUACCAUCGGAUGUGCCCAGAUGGGAUUAGCUAGUAGGUGGGGUAAAGGCUCACCUAGGCGACGAUCCCUAGCUGGUCUGAGAGGAUGACCAGCCACACGGGAAAUGGGACACGGUCCAGACUCGUGCGGGAGGAAGAAGUGGGGAAUAUUGCACAAUGGGCGCAAGCCUGAUGCAGCCAUGCCGCGUGUAUGAAGAAGGCCUUCGGGUUGUAAAGUACUUUCAGCGGGGAGGCGUUACCCGCAGAAGAAGAACCGGCUAACUCCGUGCCAGAAGCGGCGGUAAUAC
rnacentral:rRNA from 1 species